rnacentral:rRNA from 1 species
GAUGAACGCUAGCGGCAGGCCUAAUACAUGCAAGUCGAGGGGCAGCACAGGUAGCAAUACUGGGUGGCGACCGGCAAACGGGUGCGGAACACGUACGUAACCUUCCUUUAAGUGGGAGAUAGCCCGAAGAAAUUCGGAUUAAUACCCCAUAAGAUUGUGGAGUGGCAUCACUCAGCAAUUAAAGAACUUCGCUUAAAGAU